CAGCAGUAGCCGCGGUAAUACGGAGGGUGCAAGCGUUAAUCGGAAUUACUGGGCGUAAAGCGCACGCAGGCGGUCUGACAAGUCAGAUGUGAAAUCCCCGGGCUUAACCUGGGAACUGCAUUUGAAACUGUCAGGCUGGAGUCUUGUAGAGGGGGGUGGAAUUCCAGGUGUAGCGGUGAAAUGCGUAGAGAUCUGGAGGAAUACCGGUGGCGAAGGCGGCCCCCUGGACAAAGACUGACGCUCAGGUGCGAAAGCGUGGGGAGCAAACAGGAUUAGAUACCCCUGUAGUCCCUGUCUCUUAUAC
rnacentral:rRNA from 1 species